UUUGGUAUCUGAUUUAAGGAUACGUAGAACUGCGGUGAGUUUUCCUUGUGAUCUAUUAUAUUACAAUACACAGGUUGUAUGAGUAGCAACUGAGUAUAGGUAUUGUAUUAACUGGGUUAUAAUGUUACCUAUCACUAAUAUAGCUCAUAACUGAACUGAGGAACGAGGUUCGGCUGUAACGCUAUUUCGGCAACCGAUAUUAAUAGACUUCAUAUAACAAUAAAUAUACAUUGUUAGUUAACAUACUGCAUACCGCUAUAUUGUAAGUCGUAAGAGAAACUCACCGUAAU